CCUACGGGAGGCAGCAGUGGGGAAUAUUGGACAAUGGGCGCAAGCCUGAUCCAGCAAUGCCGCGUGAGUGAUGAAGGCCUUAGGGUCGUAAAGCUCUUUUACCAGGGAUGAUAAUGACAGUACCUGGAGAAUAAGCUCCGGCUAACUCCGUGCCAGCAGCCGCGGUAAUA
rnacentral:rRNA from 1 species